rnacentral:lncRNA from 1 species
AUGACUUCUUGACAAACACCAUCAUGCUGAACACCCCCCACCCUUCCUCCUUCUUUAUCCCAGCUUUUAUUUCUGAACAUGAUGUCAUAUGGUAUGGAAUAUCUCUCUGGUCAGCCUGGGUAAGCUGUCCUGGCUGUGUUCCCGCCUAGCUUUUUGUGCAACCCCACUGGCCGGGCAGCACAAGAAACAUAAAAGUCCUUGACUCUGUGUAAGCACUGCCCAGCUGCAACUAAAACUUUGUGUGUUAACACUAUUUUCAUCCUAAAUCCAACAAAGAGCAUCAUAUAAAUCAAAGAAGCUUAUAUGAAGAAAAUUAGCACUACCUCAUCCGAGACCAUGACAACCAGUUUUUAUACAAAGCUUCAGAAAGUAAAGUUCCAUACAAGUGAAAGGAUGAUCAACUACGGGAAGAAAGACUCAACAGUAUUGAACACAUUUAACAACAACAACAACAACAACAACAAAGAACUGGAUAUUUAACUUCACAUUGUGCUAUGUUAGAUGUUUUUAGGAGGAAGACAAUAAUUAAAUUUAAGCAACUGGUUUGAUCAAGAAUAAAUGCUCUCUGCCUCUGAAAUGUCUCUGAAAU